UUUUAUGAUUAUUUUUCGCGAUACGCCUCCCUUUUCUUCGUGCGUGCCACACACAGCUACCGUGAUACCUGUGCGCUUGAUGCACUUUGAUCCGUUCUUGUUUUGUAAACAAUGUCACAGCAUGGCUGAGUGGGCUCUUUGACAUUUUACACCACCCUAAUCUAACAGCCCUGACAUUAAACCAUCCCGCAGGCCCUUUUAAAACCUUGAUCGAACGAUUUCGCGCGUAGGGCUGCGUUCAAUUGGGAUUGGGCCUGCUAAAAAGAAUAAAGCUUGCUCUUUACUCUUACACAGAUUUCCAUAAGAAUGACAGCUAAUCGGAGUGAAAUUGGAGUGAAGGCUAUCGCUUUCUCUGUUUAACGCAUGAGGAAUCGUAUACCGGGGUCGCGAGCGCGCCCAUCGCCCAUGCCAUAAAUUUGGAUCUUUAACUCUAAACGUGCAUCAGUCUAGUCAGCUGAUUGCACCGAUUGCACACAUACAUGAGCAUAAAACACAAAACAACUUUGUACAACAGAUGUUUGAUCAUUUCAACGACUUUUCAUUCGUGAGUAUUGGUGAUCUAAGCAGGCCUGAAAAAUUCACUUGGAUUUCUACGGCCAUUUUGUACGCAGCCUUUUAGAAAGCAGCUUCAUGUUGGAGCAUCGAAAAAAGGUUUACGACAAACGCAUGCAGGCGCAGGAUCAGGCUCGAGAAGUGAUGGUGGUGGAGACUUUGGCGAAGAAUUUCUCUCUGUCCAUCUGGUCCGGACGACUACGAGGAGCUAAUAAGCGGCAACAGUUUCCUCUAGGAUACGUUUCACCUCAAGCAUCAUGGAAAAAACCGGAGAUUAUCGAACGGAAGCGACAAGGAGCUCGCAGCCAUCAGUCACUCCUCGCAAGUUGUGUGUUGGGAUUUUUUUUUCAUUGUGAAUUGUGAAUGAAAAGUAAUAGAAAUAAGAACUGUGAACUAAUUGUGUAACAAAAAGAUGAUGAGUACAAUAAUUGAAUAAAACGAAAGCUUUUCAAAAACAA